UUACAAUUUGUCAGCCUGACACACAAGUCUUUAGUGUAAGCAUGUGUACUUAUAUUCUAUUUUAAUUCCAGAAUCCUGAACGAUGCAGACUGUUUUCCACUAAACACAAAGAAAUGGAACCCGGUAACCGAAAAAAACUACGGAUCUAGCUAGUGGAAGCCGCUUCAAAAGACAUCAAUAUUUUGUUAAUGACGUGCGGAAUAAUGAUUUAGGAACAAAUUCCGAUAUACCUAAUAGUCAGUGGAUUGGACAAUUAUCGCAAAUCCCAAAUAACGAAAUACUGCGGCCGACAUUUGACGGUAGUUUAUUAGUCUCACCUCCAGCGGAGGAUGAGGAAGUUGAUUAAUUCAGCCAAUAUAAACAGAAGCAGUCCAGAGCGUGAUAGGCCGAGAUCAUCCUCUUAUCUACCCUUCUGCGGCGCGGGCUCGGCGGCGUUUAACAGUAUUAUGUAACGUAUUGAUAUCAAGUACAAUUAUUGUAAUAUAUGUGUGUGUCUAGUCUUUGUGUGUUUUAUUGGUACAGUCAGCCCACGAAUGUAGCUGAACAAAUUAAAAAUUCCAAAACGCACAAACUGUUUAGUGGAGCUUAUGAAUGCAAUUUACUGGAACAAAUCAAUAUAAUUGUUCCUUACAAUUUUCCCAGACACCCACUAAACAAAAUUCAUCAGGGCCCUCCAUAUAGAUCGAAUCAAGGGCUCCAUUCACCGUUUAACCGGACAUGCGAUAGUUAUAGUAUGAUGUGCACUAAAUUAUCUGAUCUUGACAUA